UACGGGGGGGGCAAGCGUUGUUCGGAAUUACUGGGCGUAAAGGGCUCGUAGGCGGCCAACUAAGUCAGACGUGAAAUCCCUCAGCUUAACUGGGGAACUGCGUCUGAUACUGGAUGGCUUGGAUUUGGGAGAGGGAUGCGGAAUUCCUGGUGUAGCGGUGAAAUGCGAAGAUAUCAGGAGGAACACCGGUGGCGAAGGCGCCACUCUGGGCCGAAACUGACGCUGAGGAGCGAAAGCGUGGGUAGCAAGCAGG
rnacentral:rRNA from 1 species